AGUCGAACGGCAGCAUAGGUGCUUGCACCUGAUGGCGAGUGGCGAACGGGUGAGUAAUAUAUCGGAACGUGUCCGGAAGUGGGGGAUAACGCAGCGAAAGUUGCGCUAAUACCGCAUAUGCCCUGAGGGGGAAAGGGGGGGAUCGCAAGACCUCUCGCUUUCGGAGUGGCCGAUAUCGGAUUAGCUAGUUGGUGGGGUAAAGGCCUACCAAGGCGACGAUCCGUAGCUGGUCUGAGAGGACGACCAGCCACACUGGGACUGAGACACGGCCCAGACUCCUACGGGAGGCAGCAGUGGGGAAUUUUGGACAAUGGGCGCAAGCCUGAUCCAGCCAUGCCGCGUGAGUGAAGAAGGCCUUCGGGUUGUAAAGCUCUUUCAGACGGAAAGAAAACGUGCAGAUUAAUACUCUGUAUGGAUGACGGUACCGUCAGAAGAAGCACCGGCUAACUACGUGCCAGCAGCCGCGGUAAU
rnacentral:rRNA from 1 species